rnacentral:rRNA from 1 species
ACACCGGUGGCGAAGGCGGAUCUCUGGGCCGAUACUGACGCUGAGGAGCGAAAGCGUGGGGAGCGAACAGGAUUAGAUACCCUGGUAGUCCACGCCGUAAACGGUGGGCACUAGGUGUGGGCGACAUUUCACGUCGUCCGUGCCGCAGCUAACGCAUUAAGUGCCCCGCCUGGGGAGUACGGCCGCAAGGCUAAAACUCAAAGGAAUUGACGGGGGCCCGCACAAGCGGCGGAGCAUGUGGCUUAAUUUGACGCAACGCGAAGAACCUUACCAAGGCUUGACAUACGCCGGAAACACCCAGAGAUGGGGGCCCCCUUGUGGCCGGCGUACAGGUGGUGCAUGGCCGUCGUCAGCUCGUGUCGUGAGAUGUUGGGUUAAGUCCCGCAACGAGCGCAACCCUUGUCCCGUGUUGCCAGCACGCCCCCUCGGGGGUGGUGGGGACUCACGGGAGACCGCCGGGGUCAACUCGGAGGAAGGUGGGGACGACGUCAAGUCAUCAUGCCCCUUAUGUCUUGGGCUGCACACGUGCUACAAUGGCCGGUACAAUGAGCUGCGAUACCGCGAGGUGGAGCGAAUCUCAAAAAGCCGGUCUCAGUUUGGAUUGGGGUUUGCAACUCGACCCCCUGAAGUUGGAGUCGCUAGUAAUCGCAGAUCAGCAUCGCUGCGGUGAAUACGUUCCCGGGCCUUGUACACACCGCCCGUCACGUCACGAAAGUCGGUAACACCCGAAGCCGG